GGCGGUGCGUGGUGGGCGGCUGAUGGCCACCCCGGGGCUGGCCUUCCUGGUGGGCUACCAGGCGGCCUUGCGCAUGCUCUGGCCCAGCGCUCCGCUG
rnacentral:tRNA from 1 species